UUGCUCUUCAACGAGGAAUACCUAGUAAGCGUGAUUCAUCAGAUCGCGUUGAUUACGUCCCUGCCCUUUGUACACACCGCCCGUCGCUACUACCGAUUGAAUGGCUUAGUGAGGCCUCCGGAUUGGCUAUUGGAAUCCCGCGAGGGAAUCUAACUGCCGAGAAGUUGUACGAACUUGGUCAUUUAGAGGAAGUAAAAGUCGUAACAAGGUUUCCGUAGGUGAACCUGCGGAAGGAUCAUUAGUGAAUAAAUAGGGUGUCCAAUUUAACUUGGAACCCGACCUUCUCACAUCUAACCCUGUGCAUCUGUAUUUAAUGGCGAGCAAUUUUCGGAUUGUGAGCCAUUUCACUUUAUAAACACUAGUCUAUGAAUGUAAAAUUUUUAUAACAAAUAAAAACUUUCAACAACGGAUCUCUUGGCUCUCGCAUCGAUGAAGAACGCAGCGAAAUGCGAUACGUAAUGUGAAUUGCAGAAUUCAGUGAAUCAUCGAAUCUUUGAACGCAUCUUGCGCUCUCUGGUAUUCCGGAGAGCAUGUCUGUUUGAGUGUCAUGAAUUCUUCAACCCAACUGUUUCUUGUAAACAGCUGGUGUUUGGAUUCUGAGCGCUGCUGGCUUCGUGCCUAGCUCGUUCGUAAUACAUCAGCAUCCCUAAUACAAGUUUGGAUUGACUUGGCGUAAUAGACUAUUCGCUAAGGAUUCAAUGUUCGCAUUGAGCCAACUUAAUUAAGGAAGCUUCUAAUUGAAAAGUCUACCUUUAGAUUAGAUCUCAAAUCAGGCAGGAUUACCCGCUGAACUUAAGCAUAUCAAUAAGCGGAGGA
rnacentral:rRNA from 1 species